rnacentral:ncRNA from 2 species
UUGUUCAAUCCUUCCACGGGUGCCCGCAGGCCAGUGCCUUCGGGUGAAACGGGAAGCCGGUGACGUCGCCGUGGCGACCAUGCCGGCGCUGCCCCCGCAACGGUAGGUGGUGAGCAGGGAUCAUCCGGCCACUGUGAGGUUGCGCCUUCGUUCAGGCGCGCCUCAUGGGAAGGCGAUCCCCAGUGUGCCCCGGCACAGCCACGAGCCCGGAGACCGGCCCGCGGAAUAUCUGUCAC